rnacentral:rRNA from 1 species
GACGAACGCUGGCGGCGUGCCUAAUACAUGCAAGUCGAACGCAGCGGGGACGGGUGAGUAACACGUGGGUAACCUCCCAUCAGAGGGGAUAACACUUGGAAACAGGUGCUAAACCGAUACUGAUGGAUGAACCCGCGGUGCAUUAGCUAGUUGGUGAGGUAACGGCCCACCAAGGCCACGAUGCAUAGCCGACCGGGGAUGGUGAUCGGCCACUCUGGGACUGAUACACGGCCCAGAUUCCUACGGGAGGCGGCGUUAGGGAAUCUUCGGCAUUGGACGAAAGUCGAGCCGAGCAACGCCGCGUGAGUGAAGACGGUUUUCGGAUCGUGGAGCUCUGUUGUUAGAGAAGCGGUAUCUAACCAGAAAGCCACGGCUAACAACGUGCCAGCCGCCGCGGUAAUAC